UAUUGGACAAUGGGCGCAAGCCUGAUCCAGCAAUACCGCGUGUGUGAAGAAGGCCUUAGGGUUGUAAAGCUCUUUCAAUUGGGAGGAAAACCUGCCGGUCAAUACCCGGUAGCUUGACAUUACCUUUAGAAGAAGCACCGGCUAACUCCGUGCCAGCAGCCGCGGUAAUACGGAGGGUGCGAGCGUUAAUCGGAAUUACUGGGCGUAAAGCGUGCGUAGGCGGUUCGUUAAGUCAGAUGUGAAAGCCCUGGGCUCAACCUGGGAACUGCAUUUGAAACUGGCGGACUAGAGUUUGGUAGAGGGGAGUGGAGUUUCAGGUGUAGCGGUGAAAUGCGUGGAUAUCUGAAGGAACACCAGUGGCGAAGGCGACUCCCUGGACUAGAACUGACGCUGAGUACGAAA
rnacentral:rRNA from 1 species